GUCAAGUAAUAAAAAGGUGUAGCACUUUGCUCAGACAGGAUUGUAGUAGUUCACAGUGCCUCCUUCCCUACCCCAACAGGGUCUCAUGUGGCUCAGGCUGACCUCUAACCUGCUUUCUAGCUGACUAUGACCUGGAACUCGUGUGUUACUCUACGUGUGUGUGCAGUUCUGGGGACUGAACCCAGGGUUUCAUGCAAGCUAGUCAAGCACUGUACCAGCUGAGCCACAUUCCCCGUCCGCCUCUCCUUUUAAACAGUGAUGCUCCACGGGCUUAAGUAACGUCCUGGGGAAGUUUGUAGAUUUGGGGGGUGUAGGGAAUCAGUGACCACACCUGGAGCAAUGGUGUGAGAUAGGCUAAAUUCACUCCUGCAUGGCAGGGUACGUAUGGCAGCCCCUUCCUUUGUUAAACACUACCCGGCUGGCUUCCUGUGCUCAAUCAGCUGUGUUAAAUGCUCCCUAGCUUCCUGCCCUAGAGCACCAUCUGCCAGCGGAGGAUAAGAAAGGGGAAGGAAGCCUUUGUUCUGUGCACAAUGUGGACUAGAUGGGCGGGGAGGGAAGGAACAGCAGGCUGGGUGUGUUGAGGUCAGCCUUGGGAAGCACGUGAGGGCCAAGUGCUGUCCUGACAACUGGAGAGCUGAUGCCAGAGGACUGCUGUCAGGGCGGCCGAGCCAAGCUCUGUCCAGUCUCCUGUGUGCCACAGUGGGGUCCUGGGGGCCUUCUGUUUGAAACUUUAAACAGGUUACGGAAGAAAGGCUAGGAAGGGGAACGAGACAGGUAUGUUUUCCUGGUGUGAUUGUGUGUGUGUGUGUGUGUGUGUGUGUUGCUUUAGUUAAUAUGGGGACUCAUUUGGCUUAAUUCCCAUGGGUUCCAGUCACGUAAUUCAUAAGCAGUUUGAGUAUAAGACAAAAUGUCAGCUUGUAUUUAUAUAAUAGUCAAAAUGCCUUUGGUGGGGUGCUGGCAUGGGGGCCUCUUGGUGGUAGAGUAAAGCUGCAGUCACGCGCCUAAGGUUAUAUUUGUAGCCAAGUAAGAAAGCAGGCUCUGAAAAAGCAGUGGUGUGUGUGUGUGUGUGUGUGUGUGUGUGUGUGUGUGUGUGUGUGUGUGUGUGUGUGUACAGUGACAGGAUGCUGCUUCUGGGAGGAGGAAGUAGGAAGUGUCAAGAGGAACUUGAGACUCAGGAAAACAGCUAAGGGCUCCAAUUAUUCCAGGCAGAGACUUGGGAGGGGUUAGAGUACCAAUUUGAAGGAGCCUGGAUUCAUGUCUGAGACCCAAAUCCAGACGUCUCUGGCCAGUAAGACACCCCUGAGUCUUUUCUCAGAGUAGGACAAAGUGGAGUGUUAAUAGAUUUCUUUCCAAGGGAAAGUCAGAACAGUCAGUUUAGGAAGACUUCCAUGACAUGUGGCCCCUGUGAAGAGAAGGCCUGUACCAAGUUCUUCCUGCUCAGGCCCUGCGUCUUUAGACUCAGGAGCCCAGGCUGGUCUCAACCCUUUUGAGGCUGAGCAGUAACUGUCUACAGCUGCUAUGAUCGAUGCUUUGUUGACAGAAACCCUUCCCUAAAGCAGAAUAUCAAACAGAGGAACCUGCCAGUUGAACUGGAGCUAACUCGGAAAUCUGAGGGCUCCCACUGACGACCCCAGAGACAACUGAAUUCUGAUUCCUGGGCCAGUGAAAUGGCUGGGUGGGUAAAUCACUGUUGAGAAAACCCGAGGACCUGGUUUUGAGAGAACCAGCUCUCAGAUCUGAUCUCUCCGUCUGUGCCUUGCACACACCUGGACUGUGUCACACAUACACACUUAUUCAGAACAUCACCAGAGACUUACAAAAGCAAAAGAAUGCGUUUCUUGAGGGCUGGCACAACAGCUCAGAAGAGAAGAAAGUGCAUGCUUGUGCAGCCCUGACAAUCUCACUGGAUACUUGAAAGCUAUGUAAAAAAGUUGAAAAUAUGGGGGUACAGCAAGAUGGCAGGCAGGCAGAGAGGGGAAGAAUCCAGGGGAAGCAUGCCUAUGCCCUUGUCUCAAAAACAGGGUGGAAGGGGCCUCCCACACUACAUAAAGAAUACAUCUCCUUGUAGACUUG